rnacentral:rRNA from 1 species
UACGAAGGGGGCUAGCGUUGCUCGGAAUCACUGGGCGUAAAGGGUGCGUAGGCGGGUCUUUAAGUCAGAGGUGAAAUCCUGGAGCUCAACUCCAGAACUGCCUUUGAUACUGAAGAUCUUGAGUUCGGGAGAGGUGAGUGGAACUGCGAGUGUAGAGGUGAAAUUCGUAGAUAUUCGCAAGAACACCAGUGGCGAAGGCGGCUCACUGGCCCGAUACUGACGCUGAGGCACUAAAGCGUGGGGAGCAAACAGG